ACGGGGUGCAGCAGGCGCGAAAACUCCACAAUGUACGGAAGUACGAUGGGGUUAUCUCGAGUGCAGUCCGAUAAGGGCUGCUUUUCCAUAGAGUAAUAUCCUGUGGGAAUAAGAGGGGGGCAAGACUGGUGUCAGCCGCCGCGGUAACACCAGCCCCUCGAGUGGUGGGGACUAUUAUUUGGCCUAAAGCGUCCGUAGCUGGCUGUAUCCGUCUCCCGGUAAAUCCGGCGUCCUAAGCGUCGGUUCUCGGGUGAUACCAUACAGCUAGAGGGUGGGAUAGGUGAGCGGUAUUUCUGGGGUAGGGGCGAAAUCCUUUGAUCCCAGGAGGACCACCAGUAGCGAAGGCUGCUCACUAGAACACGCCUGACGGUCAGGGACGAAAGCUGGGGCAGCGAACCGGAUUAGAUACCCGGGUAGUCCCAGCUGUAAACGAUGCUAGCUAGGUGUUGGGUCGGCCACGCGCCGCCCCAGUGCCGCAGGGAAGCCGUUAAGCUAGCCGCCUGGGGAGUACGGCCGCAAGGCUGAAACUUAAAGGAACUGGCGGGGGAGCAC
rnacentral:rRNA from 1 species